rnacentral:rRNA from 1 species
AGAGUUUGAUCAUGGCUCAGAACGAACGCUUGCGGCGUGCCUAACACAUGCAAGUCGAACGAGAAAGUCUUGCUUGCAAGAUGAGUAAAGUGGCGCACGGGUGAGUAACGCGUGGGUAAUCUGCCUUCGGGACAGGGAUAACUCCCCGAAAGGGGUGCUAAUACCUGAUACGAUGCGGGCUUCAAAAGGAGUCUGCAUGAAAGGUGACCUCUUCCUUGAAAGUUGCCGCUCGAAGAUGAGCCCGCGUCCCAUUAGCUUGUUGGCGGGGUAAUGGCCCACCAAGGCGAAGAUGGGUAGCUGGUCUGAGAGGAUGAUCAGCCACACUGGAACUGAGAUACGGUCCAGACUCCUACGGGAGGCAGCAGUGGGGAAUAUUGCGCAAUGGGGGAAACCCUGACGCAGCAACGCCGCGUGAGUGAUGAAGGCCUUCGGGUCGUAAAGCUCUGUCAGGUGGGAAGAAAAAGGUAGUCUCCAAUAAGGGUUACCUUCGACGGUACCACCAGAGGAAGCACCGGCUAACUCCGUGCCAGCAGCCGCGGUAAUACGGAGGGUGCAAGCGUUGUUCGGAAUCACUGGGCGUAAAGCGCGUGUAGGCGGCCUAUUAAGUCAGGUGUGAAAUCCCUUGGCUCAACCAAGGAAUUGCAUCUGAAACUAAAAGGCUUGAGUACGGGAGAGGAGAGUGGAAUUCCCGGUGUAGAGGUGAAAUUCGUAGAUAUCGGGAAGAACACCGGUGGCGAAGGCGGCUCUCUGGACCGAUACUGACGCUGAGACGCGAAAGCGUGGGGAGCAAACAGGAUUAGAUACCCUAGUAGUCC